rnacentral:ncRNA from 1 species
GUGGCCGACGUGUACGUACGCGGUAUGCCUUCGGGCACUUUGUACGUAAUAGUAUGCCGCGUACACCUGAUAGCGUAGAAAUACGCUACACUGAGCUAUACAAUGAUAGUACAGGACACUUUCAGAAUGGGAGUUUGGCUGGGGUGUCACACCUGUUAUAAUGCAACACAGGUGUCCCAAGGUCAGCUCCGUGAGAACAGAAACCUCUCAUAGAGUAUAAGGGCAAAAGCUGUCUUAAUCUAUGUACUUUCAGUACCAGUACACAAUGAUAAUCAAAUAGAACCCGGCGGUUUCGGCCGCAGGGUUCUUGUGUGUGAAAGCACGGCCUAGCGAUCCUUUAGUAUACGCAUGAAUUUUAUUGUGCAUUAUGACCCAACGCGGCACCGCCGGCGCGACGUACUUACAGUACAUUGCGCCUAACG